AUGGCGGCGCUUCGAGUCGCGGCGAGGAGGCUCGUCGGCGGCGGCCUGACGCCGGCGCUGCCUGUGGACAAGGCGCAGCCCCGGCUCUUCCCGAGGCUCUCCCAGGUCGGCCGGGCUAGGUCCACCACAUCCUCCGCUGCUGCUGCCGCAGACACCAAUCUGGCGGCGGCCAAGGGCUGUGAAGAUCCGGAGAAACUCCUGACAGAGAUCCAUAACAUGAGAGAGGAGCUGUACGAUAAGGUUUCACAUGUGGAAAGGACCUACGAUAUCCCUGGCAGGGCAGGCAAAAAUAUCAGCCGGCUGCGCGACGAGCUCGCCACGCAAGUGGAUCCUAGACCCGGGGACACCACAUGGCGUGAGUUGCGAGUGCUAACUGUAUUUGGGCGUUACUGCGGAUAUGCGGCUGGUAUGUUUACCUCGUAUGUGCUCGCGCGCAUGGCCACUGGUUGGAUCGUUGAAUUGGAGCCAGAUGAAAAGCAGUGGAUCAAGAAGAAAAGAGAAGAGGCACGCAAGCGGAGUGAAGCAAAGUGA
rnacentral:rRNA from 1 species